GUGCUGGUCUCUGAGCUGUUGCCAUGACUCUGUCAACACUGACAGCCCGGAGGAAAGGUCGACUCGUCCUGAGAGUUUUUUCUCCACAAAAGAAGUUUAAUGCCCCUAAGUCCAGACUGACAGGCUGAUAUUAAAACCCCUGCAGGGACACUCGCACGUCUUCUGAUCCUGAAGAGCCGAAUCCCGGGGCGAAGGAAGAGGCUUUAACCCCUGAUGCUGAUGGACCCGGACCCCGACCCCGUCCCCUAUCCCCAGGCAUUUGAGCCAAAUGCUGCUGCCUUGCGCCAGCGUGUGGGUUUGUAAAAACACAAGAGAGUCGAUGGGUUCCCUUUUCAUCUGUGAGGACACGGCCACCGCUGGAGGGCUGGGACGGGCACAGUUGCUCAGCUACAAGUGAUAGAAAUUGUUUUUGUGAAUAAAGCCCCACUUGUCUUUGUAUUUAAUUGCGUAGACACAACUCAAAUGCAUUUGGAUUAGACUCGUUUCAAACAAGGGAAUACUGAGUCACCUGCUGCGUCAUGUACCGUCUGUGUGUCCCUCUGCAUCCGUCACAACUCCACCCAGGAGGGAAUCCCCGAUCAUUCCUGCUAGUCUCUCAUCCAGUGGGCCGGGCUCCGGUGUCCCCUUUCCUCUGCCUGUGCAAUGCCGCUUUCGGGUCAGACAGCCCGACCUUCCGAGCAGCAGCAUUCACAGCGUCCGCCACAUGCUGCCACCGUAACGCCUCUUUGGUAUUUGCAAGGCCCACAGUGUGUCCACCAAACAACUUCUUUUAUCUCGUCUCAACCUCCCAACAAGAAUUUGAGUUUCAGACUGUGUGAAAUUCCUUUUUUUAGUCUUUCUGUCAGCGCUUGCCAUGAUUGUCUUCAUGCAGUCAGUAGGAAUGAAUGUUAAUUGGGGGCGUUUCACUGCCUAUUUAUAGGCAACUAUGGGUGAUGCAUGAAGCUCGCACAGGUACGGCAAAUUUUGAGUGGAUUGUUUUUAAUAAAGGGAAAUCAGCGUAGGACGUGCAUGCGCACCGCGUUAUAAAUCAGAACAUUUUUGUGCGUACGCACUUUCUGUGUUUCAUCCGUACGCCGCCUUUUGAUGUGAAUCCUACGCUCAGUUUUAUUAAUGAGGCCCCCUUAUCUGUAGACCUCGAUCUGGUCCUGCCCUCACAUCGACACAGAGAGAGAAAAUGGUCAGAGUAAAGGACCAAUCUGUCAUUUUUCACCACAUACAAUAAGUUCCCCUGUCGCCAUAAAAAUGUGAGUUAACUGAACUUGGAUAAUUAGUUUUGUUUCAUGAGUUCUGGAAAUGUAACACCAGCUGGUUUAAGUUCACGAACUUAGAAAAUGGGUUAAAUAAACUUUAGAUAUUAAGUUGAAUCAACAGU